UGGGGAAUAUUGCGCAAUGGGCGAAAGCCUGACGCAGCAACGCCGCGUGAGGGAAGAAGGUUUUCGGAUCGUAAACCUCUGUCAGGAGGGAAGCGGUACCUCCAAAGGAAGCACCGGCUAACUCCGUGCCAGCAGCCGCGGUAAUACGGAGGGUGCGAGCGUUAUUCGGAAUUACUGGGCGUAAAGGGCGUGUAGGCGGCUUUGUAAGUCAGAUGUGAAAGCCCACGGCUUAACCGUGGAACUGCAUUUGAAACUGCUUGGCUAGAGUACGGGAGGGGUGGCGGAAUUCCCGGUGUAGGAGUGAAAUCCGUAGAUAUCGGGAGGAACACCGGCGGCGAAGGCGGCCACCUGGACCGUAACUGACGCUGAGACGCGAAAGCGUGGGGAGCAAACAGGAUUAGAUACCCCAGUAGU
rnacentral:rRNA from 1 species